UAUAAUAUAGUUUAAAUAAAAUAUUUAAUUUGCAAUUAAAAGAUAAUUAUAUUUUAUUAUAU
rnacentral:tRNA from 1 species